CCCGCCCCGCCCCGCCCCCAGCCUGCGCAGGUGCUGCUGGGCCCGAGCCUGCUUGUGCGCCCAGGCUGAGGAGGUUAAAGGUCAGGGGAGUGGCACUUCCUUAAGUGUCGAACCCCACCCCAGCCCGUCAUCUCUGGCAUUUGGAUGGAGCUCCCUUCUAGAAGCUGUCACCUUGGUCCCUGUGGGCGAGGUCAAAGGUCAGGAAUGAAGGAGUGGAGCAGAGCCACCGUGCAGCCCUGAACUGCUAACAUUUGGCCUUUCGUGUGAAAGAGAACCAAGCAGCUGCCUGUUCGAGCCAUUGUUACUUGUAGGCAAAUCCAGUCUUCACUGAUGAGCAAGAUGAGUACAUCGAGGUUUGGCGAGUCCGGCCCAGAAGGAUGUCCGCGGCCGCUCUCCUGGGAGUUGCUCAAACACAGACGUGCCCGAAUGCCCACCACCAUGGAUAAAUUGCUCACUGUGUGUUCACAGAGUGGAAUCCUCCGCAGCCGUGAAGACUGGUCCCGAGCCAGAAACCAACAUGGGUGAAAGAAGCCAGAUGUGAAGGAAUACACGCGCUGAAUGGUUCCAUCCUGGGACGGACCGGAACAGGCAAAACUAGGAUACUGUCCGAGGUCAGAAUCAUGGUUUCCUUUAAAGAGUGGGUGGGGGGGGUGGGGGGCAGAAGAUGAAUUGGAGCAUCGGGGGGUGAUUUGGGACGCUGGCAGGGUUCUGCCUCUCAUCUGAGUGGGGGGGGGGGGUACAGGAGGCACUUGCUGAAAAUUCAUCGAGCUCUGGCCUUUUUCUCCUAUAUCCUUCCCGUUGUUUGAACAGUGUCGUUGAGCUGUAUCCACCCACUUCAAGUGUGUAAACCUGAGUGGGUUUGUGUGUGUUCGCAGAGCUGGGCAAGCAUCACCCCGUCCAGUUCUGGAACCUUUUCAUCACCCCGGAAAGUAAACAGGGACCUGCUAACAGUCACUCCCCGGCUGCCCCCACUCUCCCAGCCCCGGGCAGUCACGAUUCUCCGGUCCGAGUUACCCACUCUCGCCGCGUGACUGCAGGUUAGAUUUAAACUGAAAUGUACAAGGCGCUGAAUGAAAUAACCACAGGCCACGGGCAGACACUACCCUCCGCCCCUCACUUCUGCGUCCCGCACUUGUCUGUGUUCUUCGGUCAGUCACCCGCCUGGCCCCGGAGGCAUUCAAAGCUGUGACUCCUGGGAUAGAUGAUCCGAGGGUGUUUUCCUGUGGGAAUAUCCCUUGUUUCUCAUUUCUCCCGCAUGGGAGCAGGU
rnacentral:lncRNA from 1 species